AUGAGAGGAGAAUAAAUUUACAAAAGAGAAACACCAAAUGUGCUUACUCACAUAGAAGCUCUGCUCAGCUUCCUGUGAGGGAGCCACCAACAGAGACGACUGCUGGACGAGAAGCCAGAUCCAAAAAUCAGGAAAAAACAAGAUGUAAUGAGAAGACAACCAUCUGGAAGAGGGAAGUCAUCAUAAGCCAGGCUACACUAGCCUCUUGGUCUCAGAAGCCUAGACCACAGAAUUGUGAUAAUGAAGCCUAGUCAGUCCACAGAGCUGUGAGAAUGAAGCCUAGUCCACAGAACUGUGAGAAUGAAGCCUAGUCCACAGAACUGUGAGAAUGAAGCCUAGUCCACAGAACUGUGAGAAUGAAGCCUAGUCUACAGAGCUGUGAGAAUGAAGCCUAGUCUACAGAGCUGUGAGAAUUAGGUAUCUGCUGAUUAUGUCACCCAGACUCUGGUUGGAUUUAGCUAUAAAUUCUUUCAGGUGUUAACUUCCUCAGACUACUAGGCCUUUUGUUGUUGUUCUUCCACAAAGCUGCCUUUGGUGACCUAAGGCUAGGAAUGAGGCUCUGGAAAUCGCUUCCCCACAAUGAAACCCCUUGCUAUACAGCUCAGGAACCAGGCAGCAGCAACUAAAGUGAGCUCCAAUUCAAAAUUCCACAUGAAUGACCCUAACAUAGCUUGACAGAUUUUCAAAGAAAGGAGCAACACAUUCCUGGCUGUCUGACAGCAAACAGCAAAAUCUUCUCAUAUCUACAAAAAGAGAGAUAAGGACUGAAGUCAAUUAUGAGGCAUGCUGAGAAAGUGCUUUAGAAGAUAAGAGGGCCUGAAAGUGUUUGAGUGAAGAGAGCAUGUGAAGAGAUAAUAGUCACUAAACAAAUUCAUCACCCUACAUUGAAAAUCUGAGAUGAAUUCCACACUCUUUCUUACAAAAGAGUCGGAGAGGUAAAGUUAAAUCACCCUUUGUUUCAAAACACAAUACCCAGAAGUUAAAUGAAUACCUUGAAUUUUACCAUGACUAGACAAAGCCUACAUGUGACAUCAGUACUUUUCAGACAAAAGCUGGGAAUGACCCUUCCACUUAUACCAAUCAGAUGAAAACUUUUGCUCUUCCUGGAGGCCACAGGAGAAGGGAAAUACAUUUAUUUAACUCAUUUGAAGAAGUAGCUAAUUUCAUUGGUUUGGGUCCUUUGCUUUUCUCAAACUAUUCCAUGAAAAUAGAGAACAUAUUUUAAAAAUUACAAAAUGAUAGCCUUAUGGAACCACAAGACCAAGUUGCAAACCCCAACUGUACAACUUAUUAGCUCUUAACUUGAAACAAAAGGAGUAACAAUAAUAGCAGCAGUAAAUUCCUGGGAUUUUUAAAAAUGUGUAAGUAAAUGACUAUAUCAAGAAAUAAAAAACAUGUCUUUGUACAUGUACUGAAAUGCAAAGUUUGCUGUAAUAUGUUUUGGUCAGCACAGAGGUAAGGUAAAAUCUUCUCAUGCAUAUUUUAUUUUGAAAUUUUCAAUUUAGAAAAAAAAAACUGUAUUGAAUAUAUAACAUACUUCUGGUUUGCAUCAUUAUUAAAGCAUCUGGUCCUGCUCUUGACCAGUCAUAAGGAAGUGCUUUGUACCAAGCAAUUGUUCAGAUGUGCAAUGUAAAACCCUGCAACUUCGUAACAAUAACAAGUGCAAAAAUGCUUAACAAAAGAAAAAUACUGAUGAGUCUGUUUCCAUUAGCAUGAAGAGAAACCUACCAUUCCUGGAAGUCCACUCUUUAAUAUCAGACAUCUGGGGAGUUUGGAUGGACCCACACAGGCAUGUGCUUGGCUUGGGUGACCUCUAAUAUGUUCCUUUUCUAGUUCUGCCUAUGGUGUCACUUAGCUCAGCUUCCAGGGGAACAUUUUCAUCUGGAAAACCGACAAAUGUGUCCUCUCUUCCUAUUUCCACAUUCCUCAGAGACUAGCUGACAAGUAUCACGUUCAUUGGGUUUACACUAAAUGAAUGCUCCAUAGAAUGUUACUAAAUGAGAUGUCAUCAAACUGAGUGAACAUUUAUCUUGCAAAAUCUAGUGUCUUUCUCUCUAUAGUAUAAGGAUAUUUAUGACAUUGGUCUGCAAGUUUUAAAACUUUCUAGUUUUUGAAGAAAUAUUUGGGAAAUUUCUUUCUGAUAGAUCAGGAAGAUGCAUGCUCCAGCAUGUAUUAUUUGUCUUUUAGGAAACAGGCCUUCAUUUUCGAAGUUAUUUGUAAUCCACUAAAAAUAAAUAUAGAACUUGAUAUAUGUUCUGCUUAAGAAUUUUCACCCAAUUUCACCUUAUUGUUCUAAUUUUUCUGUAGCUCGAUUUCCUGUCAUUUUAAGAAUCUUAGCUUUUAUUUGUUCAUAUUUUAAGAUUUAUAUAUACAUAUGUUACUAAACUUUUAUCCUAAUUUAAAUGAUAUUUAUCUGCUAAAACUAUACUCUGUCCAAUUCUAUUUCUUGAUCACAUACAAAUGUUUAAUUAGUUAGGCACAAACUUUAAAUAAAGUUUUAAAUCAGUUGAAAUUUACUCAGAAGUUUUCAGUCAGCCAAACUCAGUUGACAGGUACAGAAGAAACUGCAAGAAUCCUUCUAAUCCUUCUUCUGAUCUUAAGUUUUCAGUGUUGGUUUCAAUUAGACACCAUGUUCCUAAAAAUAGUUAAGUAAUUUUAAUCCAAACUAUAUUUCAAGAAAGCAAAACAUGUACUUAUGGGAAAAAGAAAAAGUGAGGACCAUUUUACAAAAGGAACCAUGUAAUGCUAUUUGUUAUUUUCUAACAUGAGCAUCAAAAUGAAAUAAAUCAUAUAAUCUACUGCUGUACAUGUAAGAGGGAAUUAGUUCGCAAUAUUUUUAGUGGGGAGAAUAUAUAAAAAUUAUAAUGCCACCGACAGAAAUUAUAGUGGUUUUUUUUGUGGUUUUUCGA